GAACAGUAAGUUUUGGGAGUUGAUUUUGAGUCCAUCUCCUACCCUGAAAGGUCCCAAGUGAUUAUUUUCAAUGAAAGAGACCCAUCUCAGGAGCUCGAUGAAGCAGACAGCAUGUGCCGCCAAUUCAAGCAAUCACGACUAAACCACAAGUGUGCCGCCCGUAAAUCCAGUGUUGAUGACUGCCUGUGUGUUUUGCCAAGAGAAAGACUGAAGUCACACACACACACACACACAGCACAUACUGUGUGUGAAGACCUUGACCCUGCUGUUGGACAGGAAGAGCUGUAGUGAUUAUGAUCGCUGUCCCUGUCUAUGAGCUUUCUGGCUGAAGCUCUGCUGAUCCUAAAAGAGGCCCCGGAAAUUUCAACGGUGGGCACAAAACAUCCCCUUUGCACGGAGAGGAAGAAGGGGAGAUAGAAAAGAGGAACAGCCAACACAAAUGAGAGGUGAAAAUAAAAGUAUAUUUUGUGUGUUUUUUUAAAAAGA